rnacentral:rRNA from 1 species
AUGAUGUGCGCUCCGGUGUCUGAAGGAAAAAUUAGAGAGGAGGCUAGGAUGCGGUGUGUUGUGGAAGAUCUUGAGGAGAAGAAGAACAUAAAAUCAAAACAAAGAUCACAUGUUUCUUGGCUGCGGGAUGGCAAUUGGAACACUCAGUAUUUUAUAGUUGUUGCAUCAGCAAGAAGGAAGGCUAAUAGGGUGAAAGAAUUGAGACGGGAGGAUGGUUCAGUGGUGAAUGAGGGAGAGGAUUUAAAUAACUAUGUCUGCUCUUUUUUUCAGGACCUAUUCACCUCCAAAGUAGGCUCUAGGGUGGAUGAGCUGAUUGAUAAAGUUCAACCACGAGUCGCAAAUGUGAUGCAUGCGGUGCUUGAAACCGUGUUCACACGUGAGGAGGUGAAGGUUGCGCUUGAUCAUAUUGGUGACUUGAAAGCGUCGGGCCCUAAUGGUAUGCCCUCCAUAGUGUACAACAAACAUUGGUAUUUUAUGGGUGAUAAAGUUGUGGAAGAGGUGCUAGCUACGCUCAAUGAUGGUGCAUUCCCGAAUGGCUGGAAUGAUGCUAUUGUUGUUCUCAUCCCCAAAAUGAUGUUGUGA